rnacentral:rRNA from 1 species
GACAGAAUGACAGGUGGUGCAUGGUUGUCGUCAGCUCGUGUCGUGAGAUGUUGGGUUAAGUCCCGCAACGAGCGCAACCCUUAUUACUAGUUGCCAGCAUUAAGUUGGGCACUCUAGUGAGACUGCCGGUGACAAACCGGAGGAAGGUGGGGACGACGUCAAAUCAUCAUGCCCCUUAUGACCUGGGCUACACACGUGCUACAAUGGAUGGUACAACGAGUYGCGAGACCGCGAGGUUAAGCUAAUCUCUUAAAACCAUUCUCAGUUCGGACUGUAGGCUGCAACUCGCCUACACGAAGUCGGAAUCGCUAGUAAUCGCGGAUCAGCAUGCCGCGGUGAAUACGUUCCCGGGCCUUGUACACACCGCCSGUCACACCAUGAGAGUUUGUAACACCCAAAGCCGGU